GACGAACGCUGGCGGCGUGCUUAACACAUGCAAGUCGAACGGAAAGGCCCUGCUUUUGCGGGUGCUCGAGUGGCGAACGGGUGAGUAACACGUGAGUAACCUGCCCUUGACUUUGGGAUAACUUCAGGAAACUGGGGCUAAUACCGGAUAGGAGCUCCUGCUGCAUGGUGGGGGUUGGAAAGUUUCGGCGGUUGGGGAUGGACUCGCGGCUUAUCAGCUUGUUGGUGGGGUAGUGGCUUACCAAGGCUUUGACGGGUAGCCGGCCUGAGAGGGUGACCGGCCACAUUGGGACUGAGAUACGGCCCAGACUCCUACGGGAGGCAGCAGUGGGGAAUAUUGCACAAUGGGCGGAAGCCUGAUGCAGCAACGCCGCGUGCGGGAUGACGGCCUUCGGGUUGUAAACCGCUUUCGCCUGUGACGAAGCGUGAGUGACGGUAAUGGGUAAAGAAGCACCGGCUAACUACGUG
rnacentral:rRNA from 1 species